UCCAACAGAACCCCACACAUGAAUGAAGCAAAAAUGUAAUGAAAAUCUGCAAUUCUAAUGAAGCACACCGGAACUAUCAAAUCUUUCAGUCCACAUCCACCUAAUACUGAUAGGAGAUAGAAUGGUCUCCAGUUCAAGAAUAAACUCCUUUGCUAUCUAGGAUAUAAGUGCAACUCAACCUCCAAAAACACGCUCUCACAGCUCUGUUUGAUAAAUUUUUAAUGUCUUCAUGUAUUGAGCCAACUGCUGUGAUUAAAGAGGCCCAUCUUACCCCACCAGAAUAGCAUUCGAUUUGUGGAAAGACUGCUUCAAGGAGCAUCCUACAUCAGUUCUGAAUAUUAAAGAUGAAGUAUCCAUUUAGGACAAGUAUGUACAUGUAACAGCAGCAAUGAUACACAUAGUUAGAUGCGAGAUACUUAGAAGUUAAAUCAUGUAAAGUGAUAUCAAUUCUGAAAUUUGAUCAUCAGCUAUUUUACCUUGCAGGGCCUGAACUCAUGUCCACAAAGAAAGGAAAGUUUGUUUGAUUUGAAGUUAUUGAAUCUGGUGAGAAAUCCAUCAAGCUAAUUUCUCUGUCUCUAAUGCAAUCCCCAUAAUCAUCUUAACUAGAAUCAUACUAACUUUUUGACACUACCAUCACAUCACCAUCAUGUCUGAUUUCCUAACUUCUCUGAUACUUCAAAUCACAAACAAAUCCUUUGCAUUCCAAGGCUCACAUCACUCAUCCUCGCAGGUAAUUCCUAUAGUAUGCAUGGAAUCAAAUUUCUUAGCUACAUCUUUGAAUUCUAUCAAUACCAAUAAAUCUAUUAUUCUUUAUAUCUGGAAGAAGAAAACAGAAGAAGAAGGAAGAAAAGAAGAAGAGGGGAACAUGAACCUUUCAACGAAAUCAUCAACCUCAGCAGUCCAAUACUAAGGUAAACUAAUUCAAUUUCUUGGUGAUUGAUCGAAUCUUGAAUUUAUUUUCAUGAUUGAUCAAGUAGUUUGAUUGAUGUGAUUCUUCGAAUUCUGCAUUUUAUAGUUGUUCGUAGCUGUCCAACAAGUAUGGAGUCUUGUAAAGAACUCCAUGACUCUAUACUUGAGGAUGAAGCCAAGUUAUACCCUUUUGUUAAACAUGAUGUAUCCAUUACUGUAAUCGAAACAAGCUCUCAUAUUUUGGACCUCUGAGUAAGACAUAUACAUUUAUGUUUAAGACAAGAGUCACAACAUUUUCCAAAGAAAAGUUCUCCAGAGAUGACAUUCAAAUUAAAAACUGGGACAUACCAUUUUCGCCAUUGCUUUUAUCUUUUAAAUCUAUGAAUACAAAAAGGAAUUCAAAGAUUACUACUC